AGUGUGGAGAAAAAGCUGACCUUUGACCUGCGUGAUCGUCCUCUCCCAGCUGUGUGUUGUGUUUUGGCUGCUGUCCAUGUGCACUUUCAAUCCCAUCAAACAAAACUAUAAUAACAUUGAGAUGUAGAAGAUGGAGAAGGCGGAACGAUGGGCUCUAAAGGCACCCAGCUGUCCAUCGCUUCUAAUCCCAAAUCACCUGUCCAGCGACGGACCAAUGGAGAGGCUAACAGAUUUAUAACCAGUAUCGCAUCAGGGGGUGGAUCCUCUGGAGAUGUGAACGAGCCAGAACUUGGCUCGGCGUUUGUGGUUCGACUGCUCGAGGCUGUUUUCCAAAGAUGGCUCCUGCCUGUUUGGAAGCCAGGAGGAGGCGACAGACUGACAAGCACCAUUAACCCCCUCCUUCCCAACGAGUCGAACCUUCAACAAAACGGACAGCAGUCAGAUCAUACGUGAUCAAGUGAGUGCAGCUCUGUGGCAGCUAGGGGAAGAUUCUCUCAUGGAUGUCCGCAGGUACCUGAAAUGUGAUGGCAUGGGCAGUGGAGAGACCCACGGCAGGACAUGGAGGGCACUCAUCAAGAUGGCUGAAUGUGUAUUGGAUGAGCUUGAGGAGAACCAAGACGGUGAUGAAGUUAAACAGUUCUGUGCUGAUUUAUUAACAUUCAUUGAAAGACCAAGUAAAGAGUGUCAUCAACCAGAUGAAGUGAAGCCAUCAGAGAAGCCAGCUCCAAAGGAAGAAGAAAAAAAAAUAUUUUGCACCACAAAGUUCUCAUGUAAAGAAAACAGAUUCCCCACUCAAGAGCCAACUAGAGCCAACUCGCCCAUUGCCUGAGGUAACUAUGCGAAGAGAGUUUAAAAUCUGUGGUCAAACUGGAGAGGGUGGUCAGAGGGAUAGGUUGUCGUAUCUCAGUUUAGUUUGCCAGAUUGAGCUUCGAAUAGAUAAAGGGCACACACAGACUGAGGUAGUCGAAGCUGCAAUCAGGGCUGUCAGUCCAGGGCUGCCUUUGAGAGACAUGCUGGAGAUCAAGCAUGGUCUGACCCUCAGUUCACUUUUCACCAUCCUGAAAGGUCACUGUUGGGUAGAUAGCUCCACUGAACUUUACCAUCAGCUGCUAAACAUCUCUCCGGAGCCCUAAGAAACUGUCCUGAACUUUGUAGUCCAUGCAAUUGAGCUGAAAGAGAAGCUGUUAUGGA